GUGAAUCAUCGAAUCUUUGAACGCAAAUUGCACUCUCUGCUGAGAGUAUGCCUGUUUGAGGGUCAGUAUUAAUAAAAAUCGGUGUGUUGCUUCUUUGUGACGCUCCGGAGUUUGGGUCAUCUUACUAUCCUUUAGGUUUUAAGUGACUUGAUAUUGACUUUUUUUACGCAUGUUAUUGGUACAUAAAUUCUUUUUUUUAAUCGUCUGUCUUA
rnacentral:misc_RNA from 1 species